UGAGCAUUCAUUUCCUCAUUGGACUAAAAAACAAAGAGCUUUUCUUCUGAGUGGUUGUGAGAUAGAAAGGACUGAUGCAAAAGCCUAUAAACUCUAAAAUGUUGGGCAGGUCAUUUUGGUCUUGAAUUUGCCAUCCACUGGAAUACAACUAGGACGACCUGACCCUUCUCUUCUCCCAGCUUUUAUUCCUCGGCUUUGAAAGAGUGGCACCAUAAAUGUCGGAAGGUGAAAGUGCCAGAGCAGUUGUCACAAAGUAUCGCAUGGUAUUCAUCAACAUCCAAUGAAGUGUUUUGGUCAGUUUGAUUUUCCUGUGGUCUUAAAGGUCUAGUCAUUAUUUCACUUCCCUGGGCUUGAUGCUUCCCAAGUGCCCCAGCCAGAAGCGAUAAAAUUUCUGUAAGAGCAUAUGCGCCAUGACAGAAUGCCACAUCAGCCCAGAAGAAUGAUUUUCCCGGGAAGCUCUGUGCAGAGAAGCUGGGC